rnacentral:lncRNA from 1 species
GAAAUAAACGCCUUCAUCUCUCUCUUGUCCCACCCGCAGAGCUCCUUCUGGGAUUCUCUAUUGGCUGAACUCAGCCAGAAGCUGCCAAGGGAGACCCCCACAACUGGAUGCAGCCCACUGAAGUCAGCUUCCUGGGGUGCGUAGCUGAAGGUAGCAGGGAGCAAAAAGAAUCUGAAGGGGAAGUGAACAAUGUAGAGCGUAUCUGUGCUGAAGACGUAAGGAGAGAGUGGAGGUCAGAAGCUGGCAUGGUCCCUGGUGCAUGUAUCAGCCGCUAAAGAAGUGGAGAGUAUGAACAUAAGCAAGAGGAAGUGAUGAGUAUCCCUUCCAGGAGAACUCUAAGAGGCAGUGAGUGAUUUGCUGGGCUCCCAAGCCCUCUGCUCUGAUGACAGCAAAGCCCCAAAUCAUGGUGCCUCCAUCAGUCGGGACCCCUCAGCAGAGCCAGCUUCACAGCUGGAGUGGAUGAAUCAGAACUUUCCCCAUGGGAGCAUUUAUAAAAAGGGGACACCCAGCGCAGAAGAUGUUUUCCAGGGAGAUCUCGGGGAGCCCAACAAGCCAAGAAGAGCAGAGCAAAGCAUUCCAAGGAAGGACUCUAAGUCUGCAACCGAGCACACACGAGGGUAGCCUACGCAUGUACGUCUUGCAGUGAUGGCAAGGAGCAGGAGAAAGAAAGCCCAUCCAAACAAGCAUAUUGGAAGCCUAUGUAUCCCAUAAGCUGACAUCUUGUUGCCCAAAGCAUGUCAUGUGCGUGGUCCAGAGUCAGUGUUGAAGGGCUCUGCAAAAUCACAUGGUAAAGACUGUGGUUUCAGGGAGGAGUGAAGAUUUGUGCGCAUUGCUCCAAUUGACAACCAUGGCACUAGGCUCAGGCCACACUUCUUCCUAACAAGAGAGCAAGUCAAAGCGUGGUUAGUUAAAGUCCAUACAAAAACUCACUUUAACAGGCCUCCUCUGGAUUGAACAGCUGAUAUUAAGUCAUAAGGUACCACAUCAGAAAGAUACUGGGUAUCUUUGGUUCAGCAAUUCCAUCACCAGGGACUUUUUCAUCCUAAGGAAAUCACUGCACGGUGGACAAAGAUAUAUGCAUAAGGAUGCUCCUUCUGGCCAAAGACCAAAAACAUAACUGGCCAUCAGUAAAAGCCAAGUGAGUAAACUAUGGUCUAUAUAUGCAAUGAUCAAAGAAAUAAAGGAAAAUAUAUAAUUCUCUAGAAAGUAUCAAGUAAUAUGGAAGGAAACUAGGCAGGGGAGGAGAAUGGGUGUGGGGGCAACAAGGAGAGGCCAGAGUGAGAAGGUGAGGCUGUGACCUCAGAAUGAUGAGGUGUGCGGGGAGGAGAUUCCAGGCAGUGGGACAGCAUGUGCAAAGGGCCAGCGUGUGUGAGGGGUCCUGAUGUCACCAACACUACCACUAGCCCUCCUCCAAGUCCUCUCCCAUGGGUCACAUGAGCUCAUAUGGUUGCAAUCCAAUUUCAAAAAGGUCUCCUAACUUACCAGGCUCAAGCUGUUACUGAGAGUCCACCUUGACUUCUCAGGGGUCACUCCAUUUUCCAAAGACCAACCAAUUAGGUACAAGAGCAGAAGGGCUGUGGCCAAACAGACUUGCUGGAAUUGCUCUUUGAAAGGGUAUGAGCCAAGAUUUUUUUAUUUUUUCUUUUUUUAGACAGAGUCUCACUCUGUUACCCAGGCUGGAAUGCAGUGGCACGAUCUUGGUUCACUGCAACCUCCGCCCUCCAGGUUCAAGUGAUUCUUCUGUUUCAGCCCCCCAAGUAGCUGAGACUACAGGCACAAACCACCACGUCCAACUAAUUUUUGUAUUUUUAGUAGAGACGGGGUUUUGCCAUGUUGGCCAGGCUGAUCUCAAACUCCUGACCUCAGGUGAUCCCUCUGCCUUGGCCUCCCAAAGUGUUGGGAUUACAGGUAUGAGCCACCCCACCUGGCCCAAGAUUUCUAAUAGGUGGGUGCUACAGGUUGAAUGUGUCCCCCAAAGUUGAUGUGCUGGAAACUUGAUCCCCAAUGCAACAGUGUUGGGAGGUGGGGCCUGAUGGGAGGUGUUUAAUGAGGGCUCCACUUUCAUUAAUGAAUUAAUGCCAAUUAUAAAAGGGCUGACUCGAGGCUGCAAGUUUAAUCUCUUGCUCUCUCACUCUUUCUCGCCCUUCCACCUUCUACCAUGGAAUGACACAGCAUGAAGGUCCUCACUAGAUACAGCCCCUCAAUCUUAGACAUCCCAUUCUCCAGAACUGUAAGAAAUAAAUCUCUGUUCCUCAUAAAUUACCCAGUCUCAGGCAUUCUGUUAUAGUAAUACUUCAUGGACAAAGACAAUGUGUGAGCAGAGGGAAGGGAGUAACCAAUGGGACCAGAGACAGCCUGGGAUGGAGGAGAAGAGAGAGGUUUUGCAAAUCAGUUGAGCUGGCUUUGCCUGGCCCCACCAUUUACCCACUUUAUGACCAAAGGCCUGUCACUUCACCUCUUGGAGCCUCAGUUUCCCCGUGAAUAUGAGAAUCACACCCACUGCUAAGGUCAUAAAGAUU